UUAAGUUAUUAAGGGCGCACGGUGGAUGCCUUGGCACUAGAAGCCGAUGAAGGACGUUACUAACGACGAUAUGCUUUGGGGAGCUGUAAGUAAGCUUUGAUCCAGAGAUUUCCGAAUGGGGAAACCCAACAUGAGUUAUGUCAUGUUAUCGAUAUGUGAAUACAUAGCAUAUCAGAAGGCACACCCGGAGAACUGAAACAUCUUAGUACCCGGAGGAAGAGAAAGAAAAUUCGAUUCCCUUAGUAGCGGCGAGCGAAACGGGAAGAGCCCAAACCAACAAGCUUGCUUGUUGGGGUUGUAGGACACUCUAUACGGAGUUACAAAGGACGACAUUAGACGAAUCAUCUGGAAAGAUGAAUCAAAGAAGGUAAUAAUCCUGUAGUCGAAAAUGUUGUCUCUCUUGAGUGGAUCCUGAGUACGACGGAGCACGUGAAAUUCCGUCGGAAUCUGGGAGGACCAUCUCCUAAGGCUAAAUACUCUCUAGUGACCGAUAGUGAACCAGUACCGUGAGGGAAAGGUGAAAAGCACCCCGGAAGGGGAGUGAAAUAGAACCUGAAACCGUGUGCUUACAAGUAGUCAGAGCCCGUUAAUGGGUGAUGGCGUGCCUUUUGUAGAAUGAACCGGCGAGUUACGAUUUGAUGCAAGGUUAAGCAGUAAAUGUGGAGCCGUAGCGAAAGCGAGUCUGAAUAGGGCGUUUAGUAUUUGGUCGUAGACCCGAAACCAGGUGAUCUACCCUUGGUCAGGUUGAAGUUCAGGUAACACUGAAUGGAGGACCGAACCGACUUACGUUGAAAAGUGAGCGGAUGAACUGAGGGUAGCGGAGAAAUUCCAAUCGAACCUGGAGAUAGCUGGUUCUCUCCGAAAUAGCUUUAGGGCUAGCCUCAAGUGAUGAUUAUUGGAGGUAGAGCACUGUUUGGACGAGGGGCCCCUCUCGGGUUACCGAAUUCAGACAAACUCCGAAUGCCAAUUAAUUUAACUUGGGAGUCAGAACAUGGGUGAUAAGGUCCGUGUUCGAAAGGGAAACAGCCCAGACCACCAGCUAAGGUCCCAAAAUAUAUGUUAAGUGGAAAAGGAUGUGGCGUUGCCCAGACAACUAGGAUGUUGGCUUAGAAGCAGCCAUCAUUUAAAGAGUGCGUAAUAGCUCACUAGUCGAGUGACACUGCGCCGAAAAUGUACCGGGGCUAAACAUAUUACCGAAGCUGUGGAUUGUCCUUUGGACAAUGGUAGGAGAGCGUUCUAAGGGCGUUGAAGCAUGAUCGCAAGGACAUGUGGAGCGCUUAGAAGUGAGAAUGCCGGUGUGAGUAGCGAAAGACGGGUGAGAAUCCCGUCCACCGAUUGACUAAGGUUUCCAGAGGAAGGCUCGUCCGCUCUGGGUUAGUCGGGUCCUAAGCUGAGGCCGACAGGCGUAGGCGAUGGAUAACAGGUUGAUAUUCCUGUACCACCUAUAAUCGUUUUAAUCGAUGGGGGGACGCAGUAGGAUAGGCGAAGCGUGCGAUUGGAUUGCACGUCUAAGCAGUAAGGCUGAGUAUUAGGCAAAUCCGGUACUCAUUAAGGCUGAGCUGUGAUGGGGAGAAGACAUUGUGUCUUCGAGUCGUUGAUUUCACACUGCCGAGAAAAGCCUCUAGAUAGAAAAUAGGUGCCCGUACCGCAAACCGACACAGGUAGUCAAGAUGAGAAUUCUAAGGUGAGCGAGCGAACUCUCGUUAAGGAACUCGGCAAAAUGACCCCGUAACUUCGGGAGAAGGGGUGCUCUUUAGGGUUAACGCCCAGAAGAGCCGCAGUGAAUAGGCCCAAGCGACUGUUUAUCAAAAACACAGGUCUCUGCUAAACCGUAAGGUGAUGUAUAGGGGCUGACGCCUGCCCGGUGCUGGAAGGUUAAGAGGAGUGGUUAGCUUCUGCGAAGCUACGAAUCGAAGCCCCAGUAAACGGCGGCCGUAACUAUAACGGUCCUAAGGUAGCGAAAUUCCUUGUCGGGUAAGUUCCGACCCGCACGAAAGGCGUAACGAUUUGGGCACUGUCUCAACGAGAGACUCGGUGAAAUCAUAGUACCUGUGAAGAUGCAGGUUACCCGCGACAGGACGGAAAGACCCCGUGGAGCUUUACUGUAGCCUGAUAUUGAAAUUCGGCACAGCUUGUACAGGAUAGGUAGGAGCCUUUGAAACGUGAGCGCUAGCUUACGUGGAGGCGCUGGUGGGAUACUACCCUAGCUGUGUUGGCUUUCUAACCCGCACCACUUAUCGUGGUGGGAGACAGUGUCAGGCGGGCAGUUUGACUGGGGCGGUCGCCUCCUAAAAGGUAACGGAGGCGCUCAAAGGUUCCCUCAGAAUGGUUGGAAAUCAUUCAUAGAGUGUAAAGGCAUAAGGGAGCUUGACUGCGAGACCUACAAGUCGAGCAGGGUCGAAAGACGGACUUAGUGAUCCGGUGGUUCCGCAUGGAAGGGCCAUCGCUCAACGGAUAAAAGCUACCCCGGGGAUAACAGGCUUAUCUCCCCCAAGAGUUCACAUCGACGGGGAGGUUUGGCACCUCGAUGUCGGCUCAUCGCAUCCUGGGGCUGUAGUCGGUCCCAAGGGUUGGGCUGUUCGCCCAUUAAAGCGGUACGCGAGCUGGGUUCAGAACGUCGUGAGACAGUUCGGUCCCUAUCCGUCGUGGGCGUAGGAAAUUUGAGAGGAGCUGUCCUUAGUACGAGAGGACCGGGAUGGACAUACCUCUGGUGUACCAGUUGUCGUGCCAACGGCAUAGCUGGGUAGCUAUGUGUGGACGGGAUAAGUGCUGAAAGCAUCUAAGCAUGAAGCCCCCCUCAAGAUGAGAUUUCCCAACUUCGGUUAUAAGAUCCCUCAAAGAUGAUGAGGUUAAUAGGUUCGAGGUGGAAGCAUGGUGACAUGUGGAGCUGACGAAUACUAAUCGAUCGAAGACUUAAUCAA
rnacentral:rRNA from 2 species